CCUACGGGAGGCAGCAGUCGGGAAUCUUCCACAAUGGGCGAAAGCCUGAUGGAGCAACGCCGCGUGGGUGAAGAAGGUCUUCGGAUCGUAAAACCCUGUUGUUAGAGAAGAAAGUGCGUGAGAGUAACUGUUCACGUGUCGACGGUAUCUAACCAGAAAGCCACGGCUAACUACGUGCCAGCAGCCGCGGUAAUACGUAGGUGGCAAGCGUUAUCCGGAUGUAUGGGGCGUAAAGGGCACGCAGGCGGUCUUGUAAGUCUGAUGUGAAAGGCUUCGGCUUAACCGGCGUAGUGCAUAGGAAACUGGGAGACUUGAGUGCAGGAGAGGAGAGUGGAACUCCAUGUGUAGCGGUGAAAUGCGUAGAUAUAUGGAGGAACACCAGUGGCGAAAGCGGCUCUCUGGUCUGUAACUGACGCUGAGGUUCGAAGGCGUGGGUAGCAAACAGGAUUAGAUACCCGGGUAGUC
rnacentral:rRNA from 1 species